rnacentral:rRNA from 1 species
GAUGAACGCUGGCGGCGUGCCUAAUACAUGCAAGUCGAGCGAACGGACGAGAAGCUUGCUUCUCUGAUGUUAGCGGCGGACGGGUGAGUAACACGUGGAUAACCUCCCUAUAUGACUGGGAUAACUUCGGGAAACCGGAGCUAAUACCGGAUAAUCUUUUGAACCGCAUGGUUCAAAAGUGAAAGACGGUCUUUCUGUCACUUAUAGAUGGAUCCGCGCUGCAUUAGCUAGUUGGUACGGUAACGGCUUACCAAGGCAACGAUGCAUAGCCGACCGGAGAGGGUGAUCGGCGACACUGGAACUUAGACACGGUCCAGAGUCCUACGGGAGGCAGCAGUAGGGAAUCUGCCGCAAUGGGCGAAAGCCUGACGGAGCAACGCCGCGUGAGUGAUGAAGGUCUUCGGAUCGGAAAACUCUGUUAUUAGGGAAGAACAUAUGUGUAAGUAACUGUGCACAGCUUGACGGUACCUAAUCAGAAAGCCACGGCUAACUACGUG